UACGUAGGUGGCAAGCGUUAUCCGGAAUUAUUGGGCGUAAAGCGCGCGCAGGCGGUUUCUUAAGUCUGAUGGGAAAGCCCACGGCUCAACCGUGGAGGGUCAUUGGAAACUGGGGGACUUGAGUGCAGAAGAGAAAAGCGGAAUUCCACGUGUAGCGGUGAAAUGCGUAGAGAUGUGGAGGAACACCAGUGGCGAAGGCGGCUUUUUGGUCUGUAACUGACGCUGAGGCGCGAAAGCGUGGGGAGCAAACAGG
rnacentral:rRNA from 1 species